AUACGUAGGGGGCUAGCGUUAUCCGGAAUUACUGGGCGUAAAGGGUGCGUAGGUGGUUUCUUAAGUCAGAAGUGAAAGGCUACGGCUCAACCGUAGUAAGCUUUUGAAACUAAGAGACUUGAGUGCAGGAGAGGAGAGUAGAAUUCCUAGUGUAGCGGUGAAAUGCGUAGAUAUUAGGAGGAAUACCAGUUGCGAAGGCGGCUCUCUGGACCGUAACUGACACUGAGGCACGAAAGCGUGGGGAGCAAACAGGAUUAGAUACCCUGGUAGUCCACGCCGUAAACGAUGAGUACUAGCUGCCGGGGGUUACCCCCCUCGGUGGCGCAGCUAACGCAUUAAGUACUCCGCCUGGGAAGUACGCUCGCAAGAGUGAAACUCAAAGGAAUUGACGG
rnacentral:rRNA from 1 species